rnacentral:rRNA from 1 species
UGGGGAAUAUUGCACAAUGGGCGAAAGCCUGAUGCAGCGACGCCGCGUGAGGGAUGAAGGCCUUCGGGUUGUAAACCUCUUUCAGCAGGGAAGAAGCGCAAGUGACGGUACCUGCAGAAGAAGCGCCGGCUAACUACGUGCCAGCAGCCGCGGUAAUACGCAGGGCGCAAGCGCUGUCCGGAAUUAUUGGGCGUAAAGAGCUCGUAGGCGGUUUGUCGCGUCUGGUGUGAAAACUCGAGGCUCAACCUCGAGCUUGCAUCGGGUACGGGCAGACUAGAGUGCGGUAGGGGAGACUGGAAUUCCUGGUGUAGCGGUGGAAUGCGCAGAUAUCAGGAGGAACACCGAUGGCGAAGGCAGGUCUCUGGGCCGCAACUGACGCUGAGGAGCGAAAGCAUGGGGAGCGAACA